GAAAGUGUCUGAUCAUAAUAUAAAAAGGUACUCUCAAAAAUAAUAUUUUACAUAUAUGCUUCGAAAUUUGUCAGAUUUGAAUUAGCUUAAUUUAACGAAUCCAAUUGCAUGCUCGUUCACUAAAAUUGAUCACCAAGAUCGAAGACCUACGCCAAUUUAGAAAUGUUAGAUUCUAAUUUCUACGCUCCACAUUAUCAUCACCAUCAUCAAAUUUAAUUUAGCGCAUUAGAGGGGAAAAAAAAAUGAAAAGAAAGGAGAACAACAAAGAUAUUUCGGUCAAACAAAAAAGACUGUACGUGUGUAAUGUAGCAAUAAAGAUUCCUCUCCCUAACGGAAAGGACUGUUUUAUAUCAGUCUGCAACUUUUACAGCUGGGAAUGGAGGAAACUUUUUUAGUUUGAGUUGUUUGUUUUCUUCCUUCAUCUUCAUCACCUACACUCUUUUUUUUAGGGUUUCCAUUUUUAGUCGCUUCUCCUCUUUUCCAGUCUUCAUAUCUUCUUCUCUUAUGAGCUCUUUUCCACUUUUCAUUUCGUCUGUGUUCUCUCUCUCCUGAAUCCAUGGCCGAACCACCCGUUCCACCUGAAAUAUCCGUUCCAUCUGAACCACCUGUUCCACUAACACGCUUAGAAAGGUUCGAGAGUUGGCUUGAGCAGAGAAUUGUUAGUAUCAGUCACUUUUGCCGCACGGCCCAUCUCUUAACUGCUCAGAUCCUGCUAAGCUUUGCUUUUGCAGCAAUUUG
rnacentral:lncRNA from 1 species